UACGGGGGGAGCAAGCGUUGUUCGGAUUUACUGGGCGUAAAGGGCGCGUAGGCGGCCAGCACAAGUCAGUUGUGAAAUCUCCGAGCUUAACUCGGAACGGUCAACUGAUACUGUGCGGCUAGAGUGCGGAAGGGGCAACUGGAAUUCUUGGUGUAGCGGUGAAAUGCGUAGAUAUCAAGAGGAACACCUGCGGCGAAGGCGGGUUGCUGGGCCGACACUGACGCUGGAGGCGACGAAAGCUAGGGGAGCGAACGGG
rnacentral:rRNA from 1 species